GCCCUGGUCUCUGAAGGGCGGCGGCACGGGGCCCAGCCUGAAGCGGGCAGCGUGUCCCUGGGACCCGUGGCCGACCUCGUCUCCCUCCCUCCUCUGUCCUCAGAGACUGUGAACCAGGAAGAGAAAAGUGGCCCAGGGGCAAGCGGAGGUGGCAGUGGGGACCCCGACAGCUUCUUCAACUCCAAGGUGGCGUUGUUCGCGGCUGUCGGCGCUGGCUGUGUCAUCUUCCUGCUCAUCAUCAUCUUCCUGACAGUUCUGCUGCUCAAGCUGCGCAAGCGGCACCGGAAGCACACCCAGCAGCGGGCGCCCGCCCUCUCGCUCAGUACCCUGGCCAGUCCCAAGGGGGGCAGUGGCACGGCGGGCACCGAGCCCAGCGACAUCAUCAUCCCCUUACGGACUACAGAGAACAACUACUGCCCCCACUACGAGAAGGUGAGUGGGGACUACGGGCACCCCGUCUACAUCGUCCAGGAGAUGCCGCCCCAGAGCCCAGCGAACAUCUACUACAAGGUCUGAGGGCCCAGCGCGGCCUCGGGCCCCCGAGGGACAGUCGGCCAGGACUGCACCUCUCCUUUCUCCCCCACGCUCCCUCCCCUGACCAGCUGUGCCCACCUUUGUAUUUAGUUUUGUAGUUUCUUGGCUUUUAUAACCCCCCCCUUUUGCCCUGCCCCCUGGGCUUCGGAGGGGGUGCUUGUGCCCCCAGCCCCCAUGCUCUUGUGCCUUCCCCCUCUGGCCAGGCCUCUGGGCUCUGCAGGGGCGCCCCUUCUUGGAGGGCAGGGUUGGACGCUGAUGGACAGCAGGCAGGAAGAUGCUCCCCUGGCCCUGCCCCCCCUCCCGCCUCCCCCCCCAGGACUGUUUGUCCGCUAUCAUCACUGUUUUUAAUGUUUUUGUGUUCAUUUUUUAGCUGUCACCUCAUUUUCAUCUGUUUUUUAAAGAAAAAUGGAAAAAUGUAAAAGGCAGCCCCUCCUUCGGCUUUCUGAGCCUGGCCUAGCCCGGUUUAAGGGAACUGGGGCAGGAUGUGGCCAGCCAGGAAGCAUAGGAUGGCAGUUCUUUUAUAAACGCCUUGGUAUUUGGGGGAGGGGUGGCAGGCCAGAGCUGUUCCUGCCCAGGCGGGAAGACGGGAGGGCCGUUGGGCAAAGUGUCUCGCCCUGCCCUCCUGACCCUCCUUCUACAAAGCUGAUCUUGGCAAUGGGGUAGUGGCUGCCACCCUUCCACCAAACAAACAGAGAAAAAAAAAAAAAGCUCUUCCUUGUGGGAUUCUUGGGCAUCUCCUGCCUCCCUCACUCUCACGGUAAUUAACGUCUUAAUUGGCUGUUGCCUGGGGAACAGGAGAGCUGCUGCAGGCAGAUGACCUCAUGGGGGUGGAGGGAGGUGAGGUGCCCAGGUGGCUAUUUGCCCUGCAGAGCUGGGAGUUGCCCCUCCCCCUCCCCGCCCUGUUCUCUCCUCACCUUUGGCAUCCUUUGGCCUGGUGGGGAAACGGAGGCCCAGGGCAGAGACCUAAGCGGGUAUAAGGCCAGGCGGCCUGCUCCUUUUCUGGGCUCUAGCACAGGUGGGUGCCCCCUCAACCCAGCUUCCGCUGGCCCCUCCAGUCUUGGGCCGGGGCCUGGAAAGAGGAAGAGGCUGCCCAGGGCUGGGCCAGCACGCCGUGCACUUUGACCCCGGCUCCUUGCCAGCACGGCUGCGUACAGACGGCCACUUGAGUGUGCUUUGCAGGCGCUCCCAGAGUGGCCAUGGAAGGAGCUGGGCCUUUAUGCCCCCCACCUCCACACUGGCUCCUGGCCCGCUGCCCACCCCAGUGCCAGGUGGGAGAGGGAGCCAAACAGCCAGCCCCUUCCCGGUGGCAGUCGGAAGGGUUUUUUGGUUUUGUUUCUGUUGCCAUUUGUGUAAAUACUAGUCUUUUUUGGAAGAAAUAAUGUAAAGAUGUUUUGUAUAAACUCUGAAUUAUUUU